UGGGGAAUAUUGGACAAUGGACCAAAAGUCUGAUCCAGCAAUUCUGUGUGCACGAUGACGUUUUUCGGAAUGUAAAGUGCUUUCAGUUGGGAAGAAAAAAAUGACGGUACCAACAGAAGAAGUGACGGCUAAAUACGUGCCAGCAGCCGCGGUAAUACGUAUGUCACAAGCGUUAUCCGGAUUUAUUGGGCGUAAAGCGCGUCUAGGUGGUUAUGUAAGUCUGAUGUGAAAAUGCAGGGCUCAACUCUGUAUUGCGUUGGAAACUGUAUGACUAGAGUACUGGAGAGGUAAGCGGAACUACAAGUGUAGAGGUGAAAUUCGUAGAUAUUUGUAGGAAUGCCGAUGGGGAAGCCAGCUUACUGGACAGAUACUGACGCUAAGGCGCGAAAGCGUGGGUAGCAAACAGGAUUAGAUACCCUGGUAGUCCACGCCGUAAACGAUGAUUACUAGGUGUUGGGGGUCGAACCUCAGCGCCCAAGCUAACGCGAUAAGUAAUCCGCCUGGGGAGUACGUACGCAAGUAUG
rnacentral:rRNA from 1 species